rnacentral:rRNA from 1 species
CCCUUAGAUGUUCUGGGCCGCACGCGCGCUACACUGAUUCAUGCAACAAGUUUUGUCCUUGGCUGAUAGGCCUGGGUAAUCUUUGAACGUGAAUCGUGAUGGGGAUAGAUGAUUGCAAUUAUUCAUCUUCAACGAGGAAUUCCUAGUAAACGCAAGUCAUCAGCUUGCAUUGAUUACGUCCCUGCCCUUUGUACACACCGCCCGUCGCACCUACCGAUUGAAUGGUCCGGUGAAAUCUUCGGAUCUGAGAGAUGUCUGAUUAAUUUCGGACGCCUUUUGGAAAAGUUGCUUAAACCUUACCAUUUAGAGGAAGGUGAANUCGUANCA